rnacentral:rRNA from 1 species
CAGCAGUAGCCGCGGGAAUACGGAGGGUGCAAGCGUUAAUCGGAAUUACUGGGCGUAAAGCGCACGCAGGCGGUCUGACAAGUCAGAUGUGAAAUCCCCGGGCUUAACCUGGGAACUGCAUUUGAAACUGUCAGGCUGGAGUCUUGUAGAGGGGGGUAGAAUUCCAGGUGUAGCGGUGAAAUGCGUAGAGAUCUGGAGGAAUACCGGUGGCGAAGGCGGCCCCCUGGACAAAGACUGACGCUCAGGUGCGAAAGCGUGGGGAGCAAACAGGAUUAGAUACCCCGGUAGUCCCUGUCUCUUAUAC